rnacentral:rRNA from 1 species
GUGGGGAAUAUUGGACAAUGGGCGAAAGCCUGAUCCAGCCAUGCCGCGUGUGUGAAGAAGGUCUUCGGAUUGUAAAGCACUUUAAGUUGGGAGGAAGGGCAGUAAGUUAAUACCUUGCUGUUUUGACGUUACCGACAGAAUAAGCACCGGCUAACUUCGUGCCAGCAGCCGCGGUAAUACGAAGGGUGCAAGCGUUAAUCGGAAUUACUGGGCGUAAAGCGCGCGUAGGUGGUUUUGUAAGUUGGAGGUGAAAUCCCCGGGCUCAACAUGGGAACUGCCUCCAAAACUGCAUGACUAGAGUACGGUAGAGGGUAGUGGAAUUUCCUGUGUAGCGGUGAAAUGCGUAGAUAUAGGAAGGAACACCAGUGGCGAAGGCGACUACCUGGACUGAUACUGACACUGAGGUGCGAAAGCGUGGGGAGCAAACAGGAUUAGAAACCCGUGUAGUCC